AGCGAACGCUGGCGGCAGGCCUAACACAUGCAAGUCGAACGAACCUUUCGGGGUUAGUGGCGGACGGGUGAGUAACACGUGGGAACGUGCCUUUAGGUUCGGAAUAACUCAGGGAAACUUGUGCUAAUACCGAAUGUGCCCUUCGGGGGAAAGAUUUAUCGCCUUUAGAGCGGCCCGCGUCUGAUUAGCUAGUUGGUUGAGGUAAUGGCUCACCAAGGCGACGAUCAGUAGCUGGUCUGAGAGGAUGAUCAGCCACAUUGGGACUGAGACACGGCCCAAACUCCUACGGGAGGCAGCAGUGGGGAAUCUUGCGCAAUGGGCGAAAGCCUGACGCAGCCAUGCCGCGUGAAUGAUGAAGGUCUUAGGAUUGUAAAAUUCUUUCACCGGGGACGAUAAUGACGGUACCCUGAGAAGAAGCCCCGGCUAACUUCGUG
rnacentral:rRNA from 1 species